GACGAACGCUGGCGGCGUGCUUAACACAUGCAAGUCGAACGGAAAGGCCUUUUCGGAGGUACUCGAGUGGCGAACGGGUGAGUAACACGUGGGUGAUCUGCCCUGCACUCUGGGAUAAGCCUGGGAAACUGGGUCUAAUACCGGAUAGGACCGCACUUUAGUGUGUGUGGUGGAAAGUUUUUUCGGUGUAGGAUGAGCCCGCGGCCUAUCAGCUUGUUGGUGGGGUAAUGGCCUACCAAGGCGGCGACGGGUAGCCGGACUGAGAGGUUGGUCGGCCACAUUGGGACUGGGAUACGGCCCAGACUCCUACGGGAGGCAGCAGUGGGGAAUAUUGCACAAUGGGCGCAAGCCUGAUGCAGCGACGCCGCGUGGGGGAUGACGGCCUUCGGGUUGUAAACUCCUUUCGCCAGGGACGAAGCGUUUUGUGACGGUACCUGGAGAAGAAGCACCGGCUAACUACGU
rnacentral:rRNA from 1 species